GUCUGUGACCCUCCCUCUCUGAAAUUGACAGAUCGCAUCCAAUCUCAGAGGCUAAGCAGGGUCAACCUGGUUAGUACUUAGAGACUGCUUUGGAAUUCUAGGCUUUAUUCUGAUG
rnacentral:rRNA from 14 species